rnacentral:rRNA from 1 species
UACGUAGGGUGCGAGCGUUGUCCGGAAUUAUUGGGCGUAAAGGGCUCGUAGGCGGUUUGUCGCGUCGGGAGUGAAAACCAGGUGCUUAACACCUGGCUUGCUUUCGAUACGGGCAGACUAGAGGUAUUCAGGGGAGAACGGAAUUCCUGGUGUAGCGGUGAAAUGCGCAGAUAUCAGGAGGAACACCGGUGGCGAAGGCGGUUCUCUGGGAAUGACCUGACGCUGAGGAGCGAAAGUGUGGGGAGGCGAACAGG